AGAGUUUGAUCCUGGCUCAGAUUGAACGCUGGCGGCAUGCCUUACACAUGCAAGUCGAACGGCAGCACGGGUGCUUGCACCUGGUGGCGAGUGGCGAACGGGUGAGUAAAGUAUCGGAACGUGCCUGGUAGUGGGGGAUAACUAGUCGAAAGACUAGCUAAUACCGCAUACGAUCUAAGGAUGAAAGCAGGGGACCUUCGGGCCUUGUGCUAUCAGAGCGGCCGAUAUCUGAUUAGCUAGUUGGUGGGGUAAAAGCCCACCAAGGCGACGAUCAGUAGCUGGUCUGAGAGGACGACCAGCCACACUGGAACUGAGACACGGUCCAGACUCCUACGGGAGGCAGCAGUGGGGAAUUUUGGACAAUGGGGGCAACCCUGAUCCAGCAAUGCCGCGUGAGUGAAGAAGGCCCUCGGGUUGUAAAGCUCUUUUGUCAGGGAAGAAAAGGCUGUGGCUAAUAUCCGCAGCUGCUGACGGUACCUGAAGAAUAAGCACCGGCUAACUACGUGCCAGCAGCCGCGGUAAUACGUAGGGUGCAAGCGUUAAUCGGAAUUACUGGGCGUAAAGCGUGCGCAGGCGGUUUUAUAAGUCUGAUGUGAAAUCCCCGGGCUCAACCUGGGAACUGCAUUGGAGACUGUAAGGCUAGAGUGUGUCAGAGGGGGGUAGAAUUCCACGUGUAGCAGUGAAAUGCGUAGAUAUGUGGAGGAAUACCGAUGGCGAAGGCAGCCCCCUGGGAUAACACUGACGCUCAUGCACGAAAGCGUGGGGAGCAAACAGGAUUAGAUACCCUGGUAGUCCACGCC
rnacentral:rRNA from 1 species